UUUGCCUACGGGGCGCAGCAGUAGGGAAUCUUCCACAAUGGGCGAAAGCCUGAUGGAGCAACGCCGCGUGGGUGAAGAAGGUCUUCGGAUCGUAAAACCCUGUUGUUAGAGAAGAAAGUGCGUGAGAGUAACUGUUGACGUUUCGACGGUAUCUAACCAGAAAGCCACGGCUAACUACGUGCCAGCAGCCGCGGUAAUACGGAGGUGGCAAGCGUUAGCCGGAUUUGUUGGGCGUAAAGG
rnacentral:rRNA from 1 species